GGCCUCUGGGUUCCGAGGGUGCUGGUGACCUGAGAGAAGGGAGGGGACAGAGGAGAAGACACGUCUGAUGAGCCGGGGAGACUUCGGAGGAGGCGGGCCGGCCAGGAGGAAGUGGAGGGGAGGAGGGACCGGAGCACCCCAGGAGCGAAGAAGGAGCACGGCCCCUGCCCUCCCACGCGCCCUCCAGGGACCCGGCAGCCAGACGGACGGACAGGCGGACCGCUAGGGAGCUCACGUACCCGGACACACGCAAGAGCGCAGAACAAAGGGACGGACAUGCUCCAGCCCGCUCCGCCUGCGCCUUGGCCUCGCGCGCCGGGCCCCGGUUACCUGCGCAGAUCCCUUCAGUGAAUAUGGGAUGCUUCCAUAAUGAAGAGAGAGACACACCGUGAUGACCUCCACAUACCAUAUUUGAUGACAGUCUUCCAUGAGCCAGCUGUGAUAUAAAGAAGUUUGUCUGUGCUGCGUGAGAGAGAUACCACCUGAAGACAACGAGGCCCUGGAGGAUGAGAGACUCUCAAGGAAAAGAGAAGGGCCUGCCGUCUUCCAGCCACGCCAGCCCCCAACUGAGGAGCUGGGUGACGCCAUCUUGCAUCCUUAGCCUCAGUCAAGUUGCCUUAGCAGAGACUAGCUGACGCUGCCAAGCCCUGCCCAAGUUACAGAAUCAUGAGCAAAUAAAUGACUGUUUCUGUUUUAGGCUUUUACAUUUUGGGGGUGGUUUGUGUGCCAGUAAUAACUGAAACAGAUAAUAUAUUUACAGAAUAAACUUCAGUUUUAAUGAUUUAAGUAAAAGCCCACUAAUUCAUUAUGCAGAAAAAAAUGAUUUUUUUUGAGACAGUCUCGCUCUGUUGCCCAGGCUGGAGUACCGUGGCACAACCACAG